rnacentral:lncRNA from 1 species
GCACAGAAUUUGUGAAGACUCCCGAUUUCGACUGACAGUACCAAAAAGAAAUAUGCUGGGGAGAAGCGCAGGCACAAGGACAGCAGUACCGCAGUCUGCGAGUGUAUCCUGUUAUCUGUUCUCCCUGGAAAGACGUUCAACACUGGAUUAAAAUAGCAGUUCCCUGGCCGACCCACCAAGCAGAGAUGACCUACCGAGCCUUCAGCUCAGGCAAAGGCAUAUAUUGACAUAGAUCUAACUGGCUAAAGGCAUCCACCACCACCACUUGUUCGGAAGUGCCAGCAAGCUCCCUUAAAAACCGGGAGGGGAACUGAAAAACUAGUUACUAAUUGUGGAAAACGCUUGCCGCAGAGAAUUUGCCGUGCCGUUGAAGUAAACGCUAUUACGCGGAAAGCUAUGGGAAGUCUCAGGAGGUACGGAGACGUUUUCUCCGAAAGGCUCUGCUCCAGUUUCGGGCAGGAGGGCAGCUCGCCUGGCCCCGCCGCUGGAAGUGGCCUCUCGGG